rnacentral:rRNA from 1 species
UAUCCUGAACGGUGGAUCACUUGGCUCGUAGGUCGAUGAAGAACGCAGCAAACUGCGUGUAAACUUGUGAACUGCAGAACACAUGAACAACGACAUUUUGAACGCAAAUUGCGGCUCUGGAACUAUGUUCAAGAGCCAUGCCUGUCUGAGGAUUGUU